ACUCAAAGGAAUAGACGGGGGCCCGCACAAGCGGUGGAGCAUGUGGUUCAAUUCGACGCAACGCGAAGAACCUUACCCAGGCUCGAACGGCAAGUGACAUCCGGCGAAAGCCGGCUCCCGCAAGGGCAGUUGCCGAGGUGCUGCAUGGCUGUCGUCAGCUCGUGUCGUGAGAUGUUGGGUUAAGUCCCGCAACGAGCGCAACCCUUGUCCGCUGUUGCCAUCAGGUUAAGCUGGGCACUCUGCGGAGACUGCCGGUGAUAAACCGGAGGAAGGUGGGGAUGACGUCAAGUCAGCAUGGCCUUUAUGUCUGGGGCUACACACGUGCUACAAUGGCAGGUACAAACCGUCGCGAUGCCGCGAGGUGGAGCUAAUCGGAGAAAACCUGUCUCAGUUCGGAUUGCAGGCUGCAACUCGCCUGCAUGAAGUUGGAAUCGCUAGUAAUCGCGGAUCAGCACGCCGCGGUGAAUACGUUCCCGGGCCUUGUACACACCGCCCGU
rnacentral:rRNA from 1 species